GAGGAAUAUUGGUCAAUGGGCGCGAGCCUGAACCAGCCAAGUAGCGUGCAGGAUGACGGCCCUAUGGGUUGUAAACUGCUUUUGUAUGGGGAUAAAGUCAAUCACGUGUGAUUGUUUGCAGGUACCAUACGAAUAAGGACCGGCUAAUUCCGUGCCAGCAGCCGCGGUAAUACGGAAGGUCCGGGCGUUAUCCGGAUUUAUUGGGUUUAAAGGGAGCGUAGGCCGGAGAUUAGGUGUGUUGUGAAAUGUAGACGCUCAACGUCUGACUUGCAGCGCAUACUGGUUUCCUUGAGUACGCACAACGUUGGCGGAAUUCGUCGUGUAGCGGUGAAAUGCUUAGAUAUGACGAAGAACUCCGAUUGCGAAGGCAGCUGACGGGAGCGCAACUGACGCUUAAGCUCGAAGGUGCGGGUAUCGAACAGGAUUAGAUACCCUGGUAGUCCGCACAGUAAACGAUGGAUGCCCGCUGUUGGUACCUGGUAUCAGCGGCUAAGCGAAAGCAUUAAGCAUCCCACCUGGGGAGUACGCCGGCAACGGUG
rnacentral:rRNA from 1 species